GUAAGAGAGAGAGACAGACAGACAGACAGACAGACAGAGUAUAAAACAGCAGGAUUGUAAGGAAGAAUGAGUUAGCUGAGGGGCUGGAAACCCACAAACAGAAGGGAGUUUAGGGAGAGAAGGUGAAGUCUGCGUGGUCUCUGGGAUGUGCAUUGGGUGUGCAUGACACUGAGGGAUCCUGGAGGUCAGCCUGUGCUUUGUUAAUAGGUACCACCUAUUGUUAAUAGGUACCACCGAAGAUGUUUGUCCCUUCCUGCAAAGGUGAGGGAAAAUGGCUCCUUUUGUAGAGAGGAACUGGCUUGGAAAGUUCCUGAGGAAUACUGGCUUUUAUCUAACUGACAAUCAUUUUCCUCUAGUCCAGGACCACCUUUUGGAAUUUGUGGAACUGUAGUUUCCUGUGGCACUAACAGUCAGAUUAUACAGUACUAGGAUUCAACCCAGGGCUCCGUAUAAGCCAGGCUCUACCAACUGAACUACAUUCACCGCCUCUCUCUUCUUGAAAGGUCUCACUCUGUAUCUUAGGUUAGCCUGAAGUCAUGUAGCCCAGGUUAGCCUCAGACUUAUAAUCCUCCUUUAUGAAUUGCCAAGCCCACUGUGUAUCUUUAAGCUAAAAUAGCCACUAGUAGAUCGGGCCUCAAAGUCGGGCGGGUUAAAUGUCUGUGUUCUGAGAACUGGAAAGCCUGUCAAGAAGCCUCAAGGGACAGGAGGAACAACACUGAGUAGCCCACUGGCCCUGAGUGCUCUCAUCUUUAAGAAGGAAACAGAACUCUCCAUUUCAAGGGUCUUCUGCAUGAAGGAGAGCUCUGACAAGGGAGCCGGGCCCAUGGCUGCCCUCCAGAAUAGGCCAAAUGGGAUGCUGUCUUUCCAGAAUGAACUUCUCUCUGGGGACCGCGGAUGCUCUCUAACGCAGAGAGCCGGCAAGGCAGGGAAGCCACAGGGCCUGUGUCCCCUCCUGGGGCUGAGCAGGUUCUGAUUGUGACAGAGGCUCCUGUGCUUCCUACCCUGAGGCGCUGAAGCAGCUCCCGCCCUCUGGAGCUGAGCUGCCUGCCGAGGAGGUGGUGAGAAACAAUUCUGGGAAUGCCUGGCAGACUCCUUGGCAGGGGCAGGGAGGGAGCAGGAGGCAGAGUGAGGGAAAGCAUAUUUAAUACUAUGAAAUAAUUGUAUAUUUGGAUAAUGAAAAAAUAGUUGUUUUCCUGGUAUUGCAGGAAUUAAAGCAAGAAGAAACCCUGUGAGUGGGGAGACAGGGUUAGAAACAAGGAAAGCUCCUCUGGAGGCUCUGAGAGGUCAGAGGAGCUUCAUAAACGGUUUUAUUUUAUGCUAUGUGUCUGUGCACUGUAUGUAUGCCGGAUCCCCUGGAACUGGACUUACAGUUACGAGCCAUAUGGGUGCUAGGAACCCCACCCCAGGUCCUCUGCAAGAGCAGCCAGUGCUCCUAACUGUUGAACCGCUUCUCUGGUUCAGGGUGGCAGGGCCUUGAAGACAGAUCAGCCCACUCCGUAGAUGUGCGAUUUCAGGGAAAUUACUCGGCAUCUGGACCCUCAGUGCUUUCAUCCAUAAAAUAGGAAUAAUUAUGCCUCCUACACAGAGCUCCACAAAUGGUUUUAUUUGAAACCACAUCUAGCCAAAAGCAUUCCCGUGCCUUGUCAGUCCUGGGAGGAGUACGGGGAGGAGGUGGAGCUGGGGGUCCUGCAAGCAGGGACUAGAGAUUCAGCCUGGGCAGCAGCCAGGGGAGACCAGGAGCUGGGGUUGAAGAGCAUGAGGCCACACUUUUCCCUACAUAUGACGCAGCUGGUGCAUUUGGCCUGCGCAAGGGGAGAUGUGGGUGACGGGCUGGGAGUUGAGCUGUAGAAAGGAGAGUGGCUGCCUUACAGGGACAGCUAAAGAGUAUGCAGGACUGUAGGCAGGUAGGUGCCACCUUCCCUUUCUCAGAGAGCAGCUGCUGAGUCAGGCAUGGUGCACACAGUGGGUCAGGAGUCAGGGCGGCUGCUGAGAUGGGCACAGUGCACACAGUGGGUCAGGAGUCAGGGUGGCUGCUGAGAUGGGCACAGUGCACACAGUGGGUCAGGAGUCAGGGUGGCUGCUGAGAUGGGCACAGUGCACACAGUGGGUCAGGAGUCAGGGUGGCUGCUGAGACAGCCACAGUGUGCACAGCGGGCCAGGAGUCAGGGAGGCCAAUUUCUAGUUCUUUUAUGGUGUUCAUUCUCACCCUUCUUGGUCAGGGCUUUGCUAGUGGGAUAGACUCUGAUUCUAGGGAUGCGUUUCACCUGCAGGGUCGGUGUAAUGACUGUGGGUUGGGUCUCUUUCCACGGUGCCAUAAUACAGGUUUCCUCUGGUCAGAGGUUUCUACUAUCUCUUUAAAGCCUGAGUCUAUUGUCCUGUGAUAAUAGGAAGCUGUAUUCUCCAGACAAGAGGUUGAAGGUCACACACCCUUUAUUUUGUUAUCAACACCAAUAUGUCAGUGCUAGGAGACACACAGGCACUAAAUGGCCUCUUUUAGAGGUUCUGAGGGCCUCAGGACCGAAAGAAAGUCUCCCUACACACACACACACACACACACACACACACACACACACACACACACCUGAUAGCAUUAUUGCAGGCUCUCAGCUGCUGGAUUCCCAGACUCCAGUCUUCCCAGACCCUUCUGGUUGUUUCUCUGGUCCUCUAACCCAACUCCUUGGUCCCAUGUCUAACUUUUAUGGCUUCUGGCCCCCAGAAUUGAGCCUGCAGAAGGAUGUCUUCCCUCUGUCUAGAUUCAAGAAAUGUUGGCUGUGAGAGAGCUUAGAAGCCAUGUACCCACAACUCCUCCAUUCUACUGAACAGAGAACUAGAUCCCUGGGAAGGAAAUGAAGGCUUCUAACGGGCAUCGUCAGGACCGGGGCCAUUGAAUCUACUGACUUCCCCUUGGCCAAGAGCAUAGGACAAACAUGAUCCAGGGACCCCUAUGGAAGGUUUACUCAGCUGGCCCCCACCAGUCAUCAGCCUCCUGGGGCCAGAGAGAUGGCUCAGAAGUCAAAAGCACUGGCUGUUCUUCUUGAAGAUGGUGUUUGAUCCCAAGCACCCAAGAUUUCGCAUUAAUCACGUGAAACUCCAGUUCCAGGGGAUCUGAUGCCCUCUCCUGGCCUUCUCCAGUACUACAAGUGGUGCAGAAAAAAACACCCACAUGCACAAAUGGUAAGAAAAGACAGCUUCCUCCUCAGUUCUUAUCCAUGUGUGCCACCACCUUCCCAGUUGUGCUAAGCAUAGGGGACAGUGUGCAGCAUAGUAGAAAUGUCGUCUUUAGCGAAGCCGGUGCAGAUGUGACCAAAGCGAAGUGCUCAGCCCUCAAAGGUCUUUGGGGCCUAGAAAACUCGCUGAAACACGACUGUGCUUUGCAUCCUAGCUCUGUCGCCUGCAGACCAUGAGCAGUCAAAUUGCUUAACUUUUGACCUGUUUCCACAUCUAAGAACUAGAUAAUUCUAGCUUGUGUCAAACUGAAGCAAGCAAGCAAACAAACAAAAACCCCACAAAACCCAGGACAUGGAUCUUGUGGAGUCUGAAGAGAACCGAAGUUGGGAACACAGACCUGGCAGCAUCGCAUCCAUCUGGACAGAACCCAGCUUGGCUCUGCUACUCAGCUACACGAGCAUCUCCAGGAGCAACAUUCUCCUCAUCUGCAGCUCCCACUGCACGUGCUGCCAACACUCCUUCUCCAGCGCUAUGUCUGCCUGCGUGGUGCCAUGCUCCCUCCAUGAUGAUAAUGGACUGAACCUCUGAAGUAAGUGUAGUGGGAUUGUGUGCAGUGCGGCAUUCUGCAAGCAGGUGCAUCUGUGCCCCUAAAGCUAUACCCAAGCAAAUGGAAAUGUUACGUUUAUGUCCCAGUUGGAAUCUGGAGAAAGCCUUUGACUAAGGCAACCCAACACAGCAGUGCGGUGUCUCUGGGCUCUUGUUUCCUGAGAGAAACUGACAACCAGAGUCCUUCACAGUCUUUUGUUUUC